UACGGGGGGGGCAAGCGUUGUUCGGAAUUACUGGGCGUAAAGGGCUCGUAGGCGGCCAACUAAGUCAUACGUGAAAUCCCUCAGCUUAACUGGGGAACUGCGUGUGAUACUGGAUGGCUUGGAUUUGGGAGAGGGAUGCGGAAUUCCAGGUGUAGCGGUGAAAUGCGUAGAUAUCUGGAGGAACACCGGUGGCGAAGGCGGCAUCCUGGACCAAUAUUGACGCUGAGGAGCGAAAGCCAGGGGAGCAAACAGG
rnacentral:rRNA from 1 species